rnacentral:rRNA from 1 species
CGAAGGGGGCUAGCGUUGUUCGGAAUUACUGGGCGUAAAGCGCGCGUAGGCGGUGAUCUUUGUCAGAGGUGAAAGCCCGGGGCUCAACUCCGGAAUUGCCUUUGAAACGGGAUCGCUUGAGUCCGAGAGAGGAUGGCGGAAUUCCUAGUGUAGAGGUGAAAUUCGUAGAUAUUAGGAAGAACGCCGGUGGCGAAGGCGGCCAUCUGGCUCGGUACUGACGCUCAGGCGCGAAAGCGUGGGGAGCAAACAGGAUUAGAUACCCUGGUAGUCCACGCCGUAAACUAUGAAUGCUAGUUGUUAGGAAGUUUACUUCUUAGUGACGCAGCUAACGCGUUAAGCAUUCCGCCUGGGGAGUACGGUCGCAAGAUUA